CCAAUAGCGUAUAUUAAAGUUGUUGCAGUUAAAAAGCUCGUAGUUGAACUUCGGGGUUUGCUCAUUGGUCAGGCUUAAUUGUCUGCACUGGUGGGAUAAAUCUCUACCUUCUGAGGAACUUUCAUGCCAUUUAUUUGGUGUGAUUGGAAAUCAGGACUGUUACUUUGAAAAAAUUAGAGUGUUUAAAGCAGACUAACGUCUGAAUACAUUAGCAUGGAAUAAUGAAAUAGGACGGACUGAUUCUAUUUCGUUGGUUUCUAGGAUCACCGUAAUGAUUAAUAGGGAUAGUUGGGGGCAUUAGUAUUCAAUUGUCAGAGGUGAAAUUCUUGGAUUUAUUGAAGACUAACUACUGCGAAAGCAUUUGCCAAGGAUGUUUUCAUUAAUCAAGAACGAAAGUUAGGGGAUCGAGGACGAUCAGAUACCGUCGUAGUCUUAACCAUAAACUAUGCCGACUAGGGAUCGGACGAAGUUAAUUUUAUAAUGACGCGUUCGGCACCUUACG
rnacentral:rRNA from 1 species